UGGAGUUGUACUAUGAGCUGGCUGAGUGUAAAUACAAGGCUCUGAAUGUAAGCACCUUUUCACUGGAAACUUUCUUGUGUUCAAAUUAUCGUCAGUGUGAAAUAGCUACUUUUAUGAGAACGAUAAAUCAUGUGCAAUACCUGCGUCGACCUGUGAUGAGCAGUAAAACACCGGAAAGUUACAAGAAGAACAAGAAUGGUUACCUUAUCCGGUCAUGUGACAUUAAAUGUUGCAUACACAACAUGGAAUGUGUGGAUAUUUUUGUUGCAUUACUUGCGUAUAUUUGGAUAUCAUUUUAGCCACCUAAACAUUAGGAUAUAUUCCCCUUUUUCCUCUUUGCAUCUUCAAAGAAACGGGGGAGGUUACUAUGUGAAGGAAUGUGUUAGGAUUGGAAGUUUUCUCUUUGUUUCUUUUGAGAUGGUAUGGCCUCUGAGGACCCCCAAGACCAACUGGAUGAGGCUAUUAAAAAGCAGAACAGCUUGCUGAGGAGCUCAACCAAGAGAAGGACCCACAAGCCCAACUGGAUGAGGCCAUUAACGAGGCAAAAAGGCUGGCUGAGGAGCUCAACCCAAGUCGUACAUUACAAUGUAACAAGUCGUACAUUACCGGUAAUGUAACCCCUACAGCUCCCAUACGUGCAUAUAUAUUCUCAACACACCUCCAGCACCACAGCGUUAUGUUUUAUCAUUGCUUUUUGUUUGUCAAAGUAAACCCCACGUGGCACAAAUGUGAAUUUAAACGUAGACUCCGUGAUAUGACCUAAUCACAGGCAUCAAUGAUAUUGCCCAUUGAGCAUGAGGCACAAGGGUGCACUUGUUAGCAUCCUUGUGAACUUCUACACAUGUUAGCUGUGUGAGUGAGCCAGAACAUGGGUCUACUGCAGGUGCCUUUCCUCAGCUGACAAAUCACUUCACCUUAUGUGAAAAUCAAAGUCUUGCUUGUGGUCCAUAUGUACAGAAGCAAGCCAUGCUUGUGAGAGACUUUUAUUAGUGGGCCAGCCAGGAUAAUUGAAAUACACUUUUUAGGACAAUAAUAAGAAAAAGACAAACAAGCUUCCAGGGAUUAGGUUCAGAUGGAGACAAAGAUGAGCGAGGACAGAUUGUUCCUCAAACCAGGAAGGCAACUACAUCCACUUCUGUUGCUCCAAGGGCCAGUACAUCAAGAGCCAGACUAGUGCAACAUUUUGGGCCAGUCACUGAGGAGGAAGAAUCAGUGACAAGGACCAGUGGAUUGGAAUCCACUCCAGUUUUAAACAUUGAUGAAGAAAUAGGUAUGUUUAAAUUGUUUUACUUUCAAAAUUGGGGUCAUCUUGGUGUUACUGAAUUAUACUGCCCUACAUCUUUAUUUUGACAGUGGUGCAACAUUUUUAAAUGUGACUCAAGUCUCCAGAUUUUCAGACUUGAGAUCAAAUGUUUGAUAUGAGGUUACAGUACAGAAUGUCACCUUUCAUUUCAAGGUAUUUUCAGACUUUUCUGAUUUACCGUUUCGAAAUGAAAGCACUUUACAUGUCUAGUUGCAAGUAGUUUUAUUAGUCGUAUGUACAGGAUACUGAUGGUAACACCAUCCAACGAAAUGCUUACUUGCAGGUAGCUUCUCAACAAUGCAAUUCAAAAUGCUGGAGUAUAGAGACAAAUUCAACAUUUUAGCAUCAUGGUCCAAGUACUUCUGUAGGGUAGUGCAAUAACAACAUCCAUAUACUUCUGUAGGGGAGGGCAAUAACAACAUCCAUAUACUUCUGUAGGGGAGGGCAAUAACAACAUCCAUAUACUUCUGUAGGUGAGGGCAAUAACAACAUCCAUAUACUUCUGUAGGGGAGGGCAAUAACAACAUCCUUAUACUUCUGUAGGGGAGGGCAAUAACACCAUGUUGACUCAAAUGCUUCCCACAGUUGUGUCAAGUUGGCUGGAUGUCCUUUGGGUGGUGGACCAUUCUUGAUACACACGGGUAAAUGCGGGUCGUG